ACUCAAAUGAAUUGACGGGGGCCCGCACAAGCGGUGGAUUAUGCGGUUUAAUUCGAAGCUACGCGAAGAACCUUACCAACCCUUGACAUGGUGGUCGCGAGACUCAGAGAUGAGUUUCUUCAGUUCGGCUGGACCACACACAGGUGUUGCAUGGCUGUCGUCAGCUCGUGUCGUGAGAUGUUGGGUUAAGUCCCGCAACGAGCGCAACCCUCAUCCUUAGUUGCCAGCGAGUAAUGUCGGGAACUCUAAGGAAACUGCCGGUGAUAAGCCGGAGGAAGGUGGGGACGACGUCAAGUCAUCAUGGCCCUUACGGGUUGGGCUACACGCGUAAUACAAUGGCAGAGACAAUGGGAAGCAAUAGAGCGAUCUGGAGCAAAUCCUUAAAAUCUGUCUCAGUUCGGAUUGCACUCUGCAACUCGAGUGCAUGAAGUCGGAAUCGCUAGUAAUCGUGGAUCAGCAUGCCACGGUGAAUACGUUCUCGGGCCUUGUACACACCGCCCGU
rnacentral:rRNA from 1 species